ACGAACGCUGGCGGCGUGCCUAAUACAUGCAAGUUGAGCGAUGAAGAUUGGUGCUUGCACCAAUUUGAAGAGCAGCGAACGGGUGGGUAACGCGUGGGGAAUCUGCCUUUGAGCGGGGGACAACAUUUGGAAACGAAUGCUAAUACCGCAUAACAACUUUAAACAUAAGUUUUAAGUUUGAAAGAUGCAAUUGCAUCACUCAAAGAUGAUCCCGCGUUGUAUUAGCUAGUUGGUGAGGUAAAGGCUCACCAAGGCGAAGAUACAUAGCCGACCUGAGAGGGUGAUCGGCCACAUUGGGACUGAGACACGGCCCAAACUCCUACGGGAGGCAGCAGUAGGGAAUCUUCGGCAAUGGACGAAAGUCUGACCGAGCAACGCCGCGUGAGUGAAGAAGGUUUUCGGAUCGUAAAACUCUGUUGGUAGAGAAGAACGUUGGUGAGAGUGGAAAGCUCAUCAAGUGACGGUAACUACCCAGAAAGGGACGGCUAACUACGUG
rnacentral:rRNA from 1 species